rnacentral:rRNA from 1 species
UGGGGAAUAUUGCACAAUGGGGGAAACCCUGAUGCAGCAACGCCGCGUGAGUGAUGAAGGUCUUCGGAUUGUAAAGCUCUGUCUUUAGGGACGAUAAUGACGGUACCUAAGGAGGAAGCCACGGCUAACUACGUGCCAGCAGCCGCGGUAAUACGUAGGUGGCAAGCGUUAUCCGGAUUUACUGGGCGUAAAGGGAGCGUAGGCGGAUAUUUAAGUGGGAUGUGAAAUACCCGAGCUUAACUUGGGAGCUGCAUUCCAAACUGGAUAUCUAGAGUGCAGGAGAGGAGAAUGGAAUUCCUAGUGUAGCGGUGAAAUGCGUAGAGAUUAGGAAGAACACCAGUGGCGAAGGCGAUUCUCUGGACUGUAACUGACGCUGAGGCUCGAAAGCGUGGGGAGCAAACAGG